rnacentral:rRNA from 1 species
CCUACGGGUGGCAGCAGUCGAGAAUCAUUCACAAUGGAGGCAACUCUGAUGCUGCGAUGCCGCGUGGGGGAAUGAAGGUCUUCGGAUUGUAAACUCCUGACAUGUGGGCGCAAAUUAUAACGAUAGUACCACAAGAGGAAGAGACGGCUAACUCGGUGCAAGCACCCGAGGUCAUACAGAGGUCUCAAGGGUGGUUCGGACUGACUGGGCGUAAGGUGUGCGUAGGCUGUUUCGUAAGUAGUGUGUGAACGGCGCGGGCUCAACCCGCGGACUGCACAUGAUACUGCGAGACUAGAGUAAAGGAGGGGGAACCGGAAUUCUCGGUGUAGCAGUGAAAUGCGUAGAUA